GCGGGUCAUGGGCAGGACCUUCCGUGCCUCGUCGCUGAAGGUGACGAGCGCGAUCGAGUCGUCGUCGUGCAAUCGGUCGGUCAGUAC
rnacentral:tRNA from 1 species